GAUUGGGUCUUAUUCUUCGGCUUUUUGUAUGGUUUGGCUAUGCUUUCCGGGUUUAGUCCUUUGAUGGCUCUUGAUCUCUGUUUUGGGUUCCUAGAUCUUAUGCAUUGAUUGUCUCCUCUCGAUUUUGUGUGGUUUCUGGUGGGCUAGGUUCGUGCUUGGGUUUGUCACUCGGAUGGUUCAUCGUUGCAGGUGCAUCUACUAGCUCUCCUCUGAAACUCUUUAUUGGUUUUAGUGGUUGGGUUCAAGGCGUAGCAGUGGUGUCGUUCUCCAAUGCUUCUCUUGCGAGGUCGUGACCGGUCUUUGUCUGUAGAUGGCUUUGAUUGGUUCGCUUUGUCCGCGUCUCCGAUGCCAAACUGUUUCUAUGGGACUUUUGCGGGAUAUGAUGGAUUGAGUUUCAAUUUUAGAUCUUUGGUUCCUUGUGUUUCUUGCUUUUUGUACCUUGUUACUCUAGUUUGCUUCCCUUGUUUGGGCUUAGUUUUCCGGGGAUAUCUUUGUCUUCCGCCGGCUUAGUUUUCCGGGGAUAUUUAUGUUUUCCACCGGCUUAGUAUUCUACCUUGUAUUUCUCUUAUGGUUAAUCUAAUGGAAAUAAUUCAGACGAAAAAAAAAAAAA